CAGCCGUAAACAAUGUGCGUUAGGUGUGUCGGUAACCACGCGUUACUGGUGCGCCGAAGAGAAAUCGUGAAACGCACCACCUGGGAAGUACGGUCGCAAGGCUGAAACUUAAAGGAAUUGGCGGGGGGAGCACCACAACAGGUGGAGCCUGCGGUUUAAUUGGAUUCAACGCCGGACAUCUCACCGGAUAAGACAGCUGAAUGAUUGUCAAUCUGAAGGUUUUACAUGACUAGCUGAGAGGAGGUGCAUGGCGUCAGUGACU
rnacentral:rRNA from 1 species